CACACACGAUCAAUUAUGAAAACACCCAUAGAAAAGAUACAGUGUGGUGAAGAAUGAUAUGAACAAAUCUGGAUGACAUUUAACAUAAGAGUUAAUGGUCAUAUUGUUCUUGGGGUUUAUUGAAAAUUACCAGGCAGGCUCUGGAAAAUAUGUGCUGUUGGGAAUCUGUUCAGAGUUUUUAUCAAAGCUUCCUUGCAAUUAGUGGCAAAUUACUGCUCAUUCCUCUGGAAUUCCUUGAAAUAAGAUCACCCUGAUUUCAGCCUGAUACUAUUCAUGGCCUCACAAUCUGCAGCUAUAUGGGAAACAUAUUCUAAUAAUAAAUGCAAUAGCACGUAUUUGUGUGGCAAGCAGCAGUGAUAAAACCUUAGCACCAUUCAAUAAGCAUUUUCACCAUCAAGGGGCUUAACUUGCCAACCUUAAUCUUUACAGCUCUCUCUAAGGUGUGUGAUCGGUUUAUCUCAGUAAAUGCAGUGAUAGGAGUGGCUAAUCUCUGCAUCCCAAGGCUGGAAGGUCGCACCCUGAUAAACUCAGUGCUGGCAUGACAAUGUACUGCAGCUCACUCUGUCAUCUCAGAGAGCGAAGGCACACAUAUGGGAGUUGCUUGCCUGAGGCCUUGGUGCUGGAGCUGAACCAGGAGCCAGGAGUUUAAGGAGCCUGUUGGCCUCAUCCUCCCAGCACUUGCAAGCAUCUCGGCUUCUGGACUGCUUUUCCCUUGCACCUCAGAAAGGGGAAUUCUUUCACUUUCCAAGACUGAUUUCUCCCUGGGGGUCACCUGAAGUCCCAGGGCUUUAUCCAGCAGAGAAAUGCAGACAGGCAACUUCAUGUGCAGCUGUGUGACCACUGGUUUCAAGGAGCACCAGAGAUGCAUUUGCAUUUAUGCCACUGCAGGAUCAGUUCAUGGUCGUUUAUUUUACUUAGGUGUGCUUGCAACAAAGCAAGGAUGGAAAGUGCUUUAUUUUAUGUGGAAAAGAAAAUGGGAGGGGAAGAGGAAAAAUGAUGCAGUCAUCAGAAAAUUAUUUGAAACAGUAACAAAGUGUUAAUAGUCUAAUGAAGAGGAGAGAUGGAACACAAACCUACAAAGCUUGUUGCAUGGUUGUAUUUUGUUUAAUAAGAGAAUUUAUUUUUAAGUGAA